GAUGAAGAACGUAGCGAAAUGCGAUACUUGGUGUGAAUUGCAGAAUCCCGCGAAUCAUCGAGUUUUUGAACGCAAGUUGCGCCCGAAGCCAUUCGGCCGAGGGCACGUCUGCCUGGGUGUCACGCAUCGUUGCCCCCCCAAACUCCGGUUCGGGCGGGGCGGAAGUUGGCCUCCCGUGCGUGCCUGCGCGCGCGGUUAGCCCAAAAGCGAGUCCUCGGCGACGGGCGCCACGACAAUCGGUGGUUUUUUUACCCUCGUUCCUCGUCGUGCGUGUCCCGUCGCCCGAACGCGCUCUUGUGACCCUCACGCGUCGCCUCGGCGGCGCUCCCAACGCGACCCCAGGUCAGGCGGGACUACUCGCUGAGUUUAAGCAUAUCAAUAAGCGGAGGA
rnacentral:misc_RNA from 1 species